rnacentral:rRNA from 1 species
AGGAUCAUUAACGAAUAUAAUUCGAGGGGUUGUCGCUGGCCUCGCUCGCGCGAGGCAUGUGCACGCUUCGCGUUUUUCUGAUAACCAACCUGUGAACCUAAUGUAGGAUGCCUCUCCUCCGGGAGGGGGGACCUACGUCUUCUCAACAUCUUCGUGUAGAAAGUCUUUGAAUGUUUACUAUCAUCGAGUCGCGACUUCUAGGAGACGCGAUUCUUUGAGAUAAAAGUUAUUACAACUUUCAGCAACGGAUCUCUUGGCUCUCGCAUCGAUGAAGAACGCAGCGAAAAGCGAUAUGUAAUGUGAAUUGCAGAUCUACAGUGAAUCAUCGAAUCUUUGAACGCACCUUGCGCUCCUCGGUGUUCCGAGGAGCAUGCCUGUUUGAGUGUCAGUAAAUUCUCAACCCCUCUCGAUCUUCUUCGAAGAGGGCGCUUGGAUAGUGGAGGUUGCCGGAGACUCGGAUUCGUUCCGAGACUCGGGCUCUUCUGAAAUGCAUCGGCUUGCGGUCGACUUUCGACUAUGCGCGACAAGGCUUUCGGCGUGAUAAUGAUCGCCGUUCGCCGAAGCGCAUGACAGAAGGUUCCGCGCCUCUAACGCGUCGACCGCUUACUAUCUCUCCGGAGAGAACGGCGUCUUCCUAAUAGACUUUGACCUCAAAUCAG